GAUGAAGAACGCAGCGAAAUGCGAUAAGUAGUGUGAAUUGCAGAAUUCAGUGAAUCAUCGAAUCUUUGAACGCACAUUGCGCCCCUCGGUAUUCCGGGGGGCAUGCCUGUCCGAGCGUCAUUGCAACCUUCAAGCGCGGCUUGUGUGUUGGGUCUCGUCCCCCUUCCCGGGGGGACGGGCCCGAAAGGCAGCGGCGGCACCGCGUCCGGUCCUCGAGCGUAUGGGGCUUUGUCACCCGCUCUGUAGGCCCGGCCGGCGCUUGCCGAUCAACCAAAACUUUUUUCCAGGUUGACCUCGGAUCAGGUAGGGAUACCCGCUGAACUUAAGCAUAUCAAUAAGCGGAGGA
rnacentral:misc_RNA from 1 species